GGGGACUGGAGCCUGUUCCAGAAGCCAUGGGUGUGCUAGGUAGGGAAUAAUACGCUCUAGACCCCCGCAACCCUGAAUGGGACAUGUGGUUACAGAAGAUGGAUGGAUGGAUGGAUGGAUCAGUGUCAAGAGGACCCAGGUUGAACACAAAAUCAAUCCACUAAGAAUGCAUGUAGUCAUUUCAUUUAUGCCAUCUUCGUGUUCUGUCUGGCAUCUUCAAACUGAAGACACCACAAGAUAAUUGGAAGAUGCCCCACUGCAGGUGAAUGAGAGGACAAAAAAAAAAACAACGGUGACAGCAGACUGGUUGUCAGGCACGAGAGUGACUUUGCUGAUGUCAGAAGCACGGAGCGCAAAUCUCUCAUGUCCCCUCGACAACAGGAUGGGCAGUUUGAGAUCUGCUUUGUGAACUUGAAGUACCUCCGGAGACCUGACGACAUUGCUGUAGUUUCAACGUCUGCGGAAACGCGAGGAGAGGCGGUUCGCUUUUCGCCGCGGCCGUACAGGCGAUGUUUCGAACAGCCUCGCUGACAGCGUGACCUGUGUCAAAAGGACCCACUUUGAGCGCAAAGUCAAUCCACUAAGAGUGUAGUUUUAAUCAAAGAAUUAUCAAGUUACACAGCACUAGAG